CGGUCAACAAAACUCUGAGGAGGAGGAGGUAGAAUAUCUAGAAGAAGAUAUGGUGCCGAUUGCCCCACCUCCGUAUGUGGGGGGAGCCAAGGUUCCGGGAGAUCUUUUCAUGCACAAGUUUGGAGGACAGUUAAUACAGAUAUGGGACUUGCAUACCCUGCAUUUCAGGACAAUAACAGGGGAAGAUAUCAUGAGCCUUUAGACUUUAAGAUAAUUAAAACCUUGGCAGAAUCUGUCCACACUUAUGGCAUAGAUGCCGCUUUCACUCUCA
rnacentral:lncRNA from 1 species